GAUAACACGAUGAUGAGGACAAGUAAGCUUUUGCAUAAGCUCUUCAGAAAGCCGGUGGUGGAUGAGAACCGGUGAGCCAGCACUGCUGAAUGGACCUUGGAGUGCCGCACAGAACAGGAUUUUGCUUUCCUCAGUAUGACGGCCGAUUGCUCCCCGUUAACGGAGCUUUAAGAUUGCAGCGGCCACGGGGGAUAGCUCCGACAACUAAUAGGCUGACGGCAAUGAAUAAGGGUGGUACCACGGUCUCGCGUCCCUUGA
rnacentral:ncRNA from 1 species